CCGAGCGCUCCAGCCCCUGCGUCACGUGCCUCUGCACCCGCGCCCGGGCUCUCUGCUCGCUAGCGCCGCCCCCGCCGGCCCUAGGCCAUCGCGACUCCUGCAUCGCCCCUAUCCCGAGCGCACACCGCCACUUACAAAGGCAUCGCCAAGGGGAGCGCAGCACCACCGCCCGUGGCGAGCAUGGAAAAAGGGAGACGAUGGCUCUGUUCCCCUUGCCCCGCGUUCUGCUGACUGUGCAGCCCUGCAGCCGUGCCUCCUUGUCUGCUGCUGUGCAUGAAUCAGCGCCUAGCCCUGCGUGCCGUCGCCCCCUGCGUAACACCGAGCGCUACCCAGGUCAGCUUGCCCCUAUGCGUCGCAACCCAAGUCUGUGCAGUGCGCCGCCGCCUCUUCCCGACGAGAUUCCGGCAGCCACGUUGCCUCGAUGUUUGUUGCGAGUAAAAAGGAACGCAGUUCGAGAGCUGUGAAGAUGAAGAGAUGUAAGAAAAAGAGCUGAAGACUCUAAGCAGUUAUUAUAUGAAUUAAAGGCGAGUAUAUUCCUUAAUCAUAUUUUGUCCUAAUAACAUUUAGUAUAUGUUUGCAUGCAUUAAUUUUAGUGGGUACCUAUUAUCCUUAUUGUUUAUCCAUGUCCUUGAAUAGCCGAGUUUCUUUUAUAAAAUCUUUUAGGUAGCUUGCUUAGUUGCUGAACAAUGGUUAUGGGUGGUUUACAACAAUGAUACGUGAGACAUGAUUCUAUACUUUA